AGCGUCAUCCGGAUCUACUGGAUGUAAAGCGCGUGCAGGCGGCCUGGUAAGUCGAGCGUGAACGCUCCCGGGUCAACCGGGAGAGGACGUGCGAAACUGCGAGGCUAGAGACAGGUAGAGGCGUACGGAAUGCCGGGUGUAGUGGUGAAGUGCGUAGAUCUCCGGAGGAACACCAGUGGCGAAGGCGGUACGCUGGGCCUGGUCUGACGCUGAGACGCGAGAGCAUGGGGAGCGAACGGGAUCUGAAACCCCGAGAGUCCAUGCACGUAGACGAUGCUAACUAGAUCAUUGCGGGUAAAAGACCGGCAGCACCGGAGUUAACGCGAUAAGUUACGCACCUGGGGACUACGGGUCGCAACGGUAAAACUCCAAGGAAUUGAACGGGGGCCCGCACAAGCAGCGGAGCAUGUGAUGUAAUUCGCGGCUACACGAAGAACCUUACCUGGGCUAGACAUGACGAUGGUAGGGAACCCGAAAGGCGACCGACCAUCGGGGAGCCGUCACAGGUGCUGCUUGGCUGUCGUCAGCUCGUGUCGUGUAGAUGUUCGGUUAAGUCCGGUAACGAGCGCAACCCUCAUCGCUAGUUACAAGUGUCUAGCGAGACUGCCCGUUCAACGCGGGAGGAAGGCGGGGAUGACGUCAAUUCAGCAUGGCCUGUAUGUCCAG
rnacentral:rRNA from 1 species